rnacentral:rRNA from 1 species
GUCCUGGCCGUAAACGAUGGAUACUAGGUGUAGGAGGUAUCGACCCCUUCUGUGCCGGAGUUAACGCAAUAAGUAUCCCGCCUGGGGAGUACGGUCGCAAGACUGAAACUCAAAGGAAUUGACGGGGGCCCGCACAAGCGGUGGAGUAUGUGGUUUUAAUUCGACGCAACGCGAAGAACCUUACCAGGGCUUGACAUUGAUUGAAACCUCUAGAGAUAGAGGCCUCUCUUCGGAGACAAGAAAACAGGUGGUGCAUGGCUGUCGU